rnacentral:lncRNA from 1 species
CUACGCUUUUUUUCUGAAAGCGGAAGAUGGGCGAGCCGGGCAGUAGAGACGCUUUCUGAAGGGGGUAGAACGGUUCGAGGUUUCGCGGACUGUUUACCUCCAGGGGUCGUUCGUGAGUCAGAGAAACCGGGCCUUUGGAGGGAGAGGGCCUGGCGACAGUCCUUCUGCGCUUGGCUGUGCAGCGUUCUGGCUGCUUCUGCCCGGCGCCACGAGGCCCGCCCCGGCGCUACCCUCGCCCUGCCUGCCCCGGCUCUGUCGGCCUGCGGGCGCUGCAGCCUCUCUCCCGCCGCCGGCGUGUCUGGAAAUGGAGGCCCAUAGCUAGAAGGUCCCGGGAGCUACAGCUACUGGUAACUUCUACAAGACAGUGGCAGUCGAGACAUCUGUUGAGGCUGCGGCCAUCUGAAGGCUUGACUGGACCUGGAGAAUCUGCUUCCAAGAGGUGCACUCACGUGGCUGUUGGCAGGAGGUGUCACUGGACGGACCUCUCCACGGGGCUUUGACGAUGCGCACAGCUUGGCAGCCAGCUUCUCCCAGAGCAAGUGAUCAGAGAGAGGGAGCAAGAUAGAAGCCUCAGUGUCUUUUAUGAUCUACCCUCAGAAGUCAUGCUCUGUAAUUUCCACCACGUUCUAUUCAUUAGAGUGAGUCACAUGUACAGGCCACACUCAAAGAGAGGGAAAUUAAGCUCCACCUCUUAAAGGGAAGAGUACCGAAGAAUACGUGGACAUGUUUCAAUAACACUACACUUAGUGAACCAAUAUUUUCCAAAUGACUGUGUGAUGUUACAAUGCCAUGAUGCACAGAUAAAAAAUCUAUUCUAAUUGCAAGAUAGCCCCAUGGAUUUUUAAUGUAACAGAGUAGGAAACAUUCAUUGAUGUAGUUUUAGAUCCCACAUUGCUUCUGACCUUUAAGAAGCUAUCAUUUGUUGAGUUCUGGUGUAGGAUCAGAGAAGAGUAUCCACAAUUAUCUGAAAAGGCUAUCAAAAUACUCCCCUUAUUUCCAACUACGUAUCCCUGUGAGGCCAAAUUUUUGUCAUAUACUGACAACAGCAUUAGAAUAGACCGGAAUGCAGAGGCAGAUAGGAGAAUCCAGCUCUCUUCUGUUAAGCCAGACAGAGAUUUGCAAAAAUGUACAACAGAGUGGCUCUUCUCACUAAUUAUUUUUGUUUUAGAAAAUGUGUUUUUCUUAAAAAGUGUGUGUGUGUGUGUGUACUAACAUGUAUUGGAUUUAUUAUUGUAAUUUGUAAAUGAAUUAAAUAUUUUUAAAUUUUCUCAGUUUCUAAUAUGGUAUUAUCACUAGAUGUAACCCAUAUAAACGAAGGCUCUUUGGGUCCUCAGUAAUUUUUAAGAAUGUAAAGGAGUC